GAUGAACGCUGGCGGCGUGCCUAAUACAUGCAAGUCGAGCGAACAGACGGGGAGCUUGCUCCUCUGACGUUAGCGGCGGACGGGUGAGUAACACGUGGAUAACCUACCUAUAAGACUGGGAUAACUUCGGGAAACCGGAGCUAAUACCGGAUAAUAUAUUGAACCGCAUGGUUCAAUAGUGAAAGACGGUUUUGCUGUCACUUAUAGAUGGAUCCGCGCCGCAUUAGCUAGUUGGUAAGGUAACGGCUUACCAAGGCAACGAUGCGUAGCCGACCUGAGAGGGUGAUCGGCCACACUGGAACUGAGACACGGUCCAGACUCCUACGGGAGGCAGCAGUAGGGAAUCUUCCGCAAUGGGCGAAAGCCUGACGGAGCAACGCCGCGUGAGUGAUGAAGGUCUUCGGAUCGUAAAACUCUGUUAUUAGGGAAGAACAAAUGUGUAAGUAACUAUGCACGUCUUGACGGUAACUAAUCAGAAAGCCACGGCUAACUACGUG
rnacentral:rRNA from 1 species